rnacentral:lncRNA from 1 species
AAAUUAUAAGGUUAUAAUUAGAAAACAAUCUAAAACACGAUUCGUCAUUCCCCAUGUAUAUAGAUUAAAACAGAAUUAUAAUUUUAAUUCUUAAAUUAAAUUCUGAAAUUCAAAAGACAUGUUUCUGAUACUUGACAGUUCAGCGAACACUAUUACAUGAAAUGCACGAUGAUAUUGACCGAAAACAAAGGUGAAAGAUUCAAAUUGUAAAAUCAGCC